UAGCCAUGAUGGAGGCGCGGCGCACAGCUCAGUAGAACGUGGCUAACCUGCCCUUGGGACGAGAACACCCCCGGGAAACUGGGGCUAAUUCUCGAUAGGUGAAGACUCCUGGAAUGGAUUUUCGCCUAAAGGGCGCUUAGAUCAUGCUUCUAGGCGUUGCCCAAGGAUGGGGCCGCGGCCGAUCAGGUUGUUGGUGAGGUAACGGCUCACCAAGCCUAUAACCGGUGCGGGCCGUGAGAGCGGGAGCCCGGAGAUGGGAACUGAGACAAGGUCCCAGGUCCUACGGGGCGCAGCAGUUACGAAAAUUUCACAAUAAGCGAAAGCUUGAUGGAGUCAUCCCGAGUGCCAUCCGCUGAGGAUAGCUUUUCCCUAGUAUAGAUAGCUGGGGGAAUAAGGAGAGGGCAAGUCUGGUGUCAGCCGCCGCGGUAAUACCAGCUCUCCGAGUGGUGUGGACGAUUAUUGGGCCUAAAGCAUCCGUAGCCGGCUGAGCAAGUCCCCUGUUAAAUCCAACGAUUCAAUCGUUGGCCUGCGGGGGAUACUACUCGGCUUGGGGGCGAGAGAGGCCGCCGGUAUUCCCGGGGUAGGGGUGAAAUCCUAUAAUCCCGGGAGGACCACCAGUGGCGAGGCUGUCGGCUAGAACGCGCUCGACGGUGAGGGAUGAAAGCUGGGGGAGCGAACCGGAUUAGAUACCCGGGUAGUCCCAGCUGUAAACGAUGCAGGCUAGGUGUUAGGGCGGCCACGUGCCGCUCUAGUGCCGCAGGGAAGCUGUUAAGCCUGCCUCCUGGGGAGUACGGCCGCAAGGCUGAAACUUAAAGGAAUUGGCGGGGGAGCACCACAAGGGGUGAAGCUUGCGGUUUAAUUGGCCAACGCCGGAAAUCUCACCGGGGGCGACAGCAGGAUGAAAGCCAGAUUAAAGGUCUUGCCAGACGAGCUGAGAGGAGGCGCAUGGCCGUCGCCAGUUCGUGCCGUGAGGUGUCCUGUUAAGUCAGGCAACGAUCGAGACCCGCAUUCCCCGUUGCUAUCAGCCUUGUGCUGAGCACACUGGGAAGACCGCCGUCGAUAAGACGGAGGAAGUAGCGGGCCACGGCAGGUCAGUAUGCCCCGAAUCUCCCGGGCCACACGCGAGCUGCAAUGGCAGGUACAAUGGGCUCCAACCUCGAAAGGGGGAGGCAAUCCCGAAAACCUGCCGUAGUUGGGAUCGAGGGUUGAAACUCACCCUCGUGAACAUGGAAUCCCUAGUAAUCGCGCGUCACUAUCGUGCGGUGAAUACGUCCCUGCUCCUUGCACACACCGCCCGUCGUUCCACCCGAGCGACUUUUGGGUGAGGCGUGGUCUUCCUUGGCUGCGUCGAAUCCAAGUUUCGUAAGGGGGGAAAAGUCGUAAUAAGGUG
rnacentral:rRNA from 1 species